AGUGAACGCCGGCGGUAGGCCUAACACAUGCAGGUCGAACGGCAGCACAGUAAGAGCUUGCUCUUACGGGUGGCGAGUGGCGGACGGGUGAGGAAUACAUCGGAAUCUACUUUUUCGUGGGGGAUAACGUAGGGAAACUUACGCUAAUACCGCAUACGACCUACGGGUGAAAGCAGGGGAUCUUCGGACCUUGCGCUAUUGAAUGAGCCGAUGUCGGAUUAGCUAGUUGGCGGGGUAAAGGCCCACCAAGGCGACGAUCCGUAGCUGGUCUGAGAGGAUGAUCAGCCACACUGGAACUGAGACACGUUCCAGACUCCUACGGGAGGCAGCAGUGGGGAAUAUUGGACAAUGGGCGCAAGCCUGAUCCAGCCAUACCGCGUGGGUGAAGAAGGCCUUCGGGUUGUAAAGCCCUUUUGUUGGGAAAGAAAAGCAGCAGGUUAAUACCCCGCUGUUCUGACGGUACCCAAAGGAUAAGCACCGGCUAACUUCGUG
rnacentral:rRNA from 1 species